UUAACUCAAAUCUGUAUGGAGUUGGACGUUUGCCUACGUUUGCCGCUAGGGGCAUUGUUCCAAAUGCAUACAAAUUUGAGUUA
rnacentral:pre_miRNA from 1 species